CACGCGCAAGGCGCUCGCCAGAUGCCCGCUUUCAUGUUCCCAAGCUAUCUAUAGCGAUCCGUCUCCAUCUGUAUUUAUAUCUACACCUACCUCUAUUUCUCCCAGCCUUCAUUUCUAUAUUUCAUGAUCUAUACAAGUCUAGAUACUUUAUCCCUUAACAUUUAAAGGUUGAGAAAUAUGGAGAGAUAGGCACAGGGAAAUGGAGCCGCCAAGAAAGGCAAAGAGAGGUACCCCCUUUCCAUCCCCAAAUUGCACCCCAACUGCCACCAGAUCCUUUGCAAUGGGACCAGAUGGGUUUUCCUCGUCUGUUCCUCUUCUCUGCUCAGCAGUGGCAGCAUCUGCCAGAUCUGUGCUGAAAGCAUUCAAGGGACGCAUGUUAGAUGUGGAGCGAGGAGAGGGAAAAUAUCUAGGUCAUUGGGACAGGAAGAUCAGAGUUAAAGGAGGCCGAGGAAGAAAGGGCAGAAGGGCGAGCGAAGGAGAGAAGUGGUGGCACACUGCAAACAUUACAGAAUCACCAGACAAUUCUGCCAACAAUUAAGACGUUUUCUGAAGCCGUCACGGAAGAAGUCAACACUCUGUUUCUACAACCAGUGUCUCACAGUUUCCAUCGUGCACAGAUCUUCCGAUAGCCAAGCAAAGCAAUCAUGUGACCCACACAUUCUUGUGAAAUGCUGUUUAUGCUUGAAAAUUCUCUCUGAGUGAUACCACGAUUGUCCUGAAUCCAUCUUUCAACAUUUUGCUUGUGAAACUCAGUGGUUGCUGUCACAAGACAUCCAACUCUUUGUUUGUCACACAAGUCAAAUGUUCCCACCUCAACAUCUCUAAACUUACUUGCCCAAUGACACACAGGACUCACAUCCACACAAUCUCCAUAACCAGCUUGCAUUCUCUGAUGAAUCUCCUUUGGGGUGACACCUUCUGCUGUCAAGAAUUCAGUGACUGCACGUUGCUUAAGUCACAUUGACUGACUGUCUGCACAGGGUUCCAUACUUUACACAUUAACAACACAACCGUUCAAUGCUAAGGCUUCCCGCGAAAUGGAACUGUAGAGGAGAGUCUUCUGAACAAGCCAGGACCUGCCGCAGACCAGGACUGCUAACUGUUGAAGAGUUACGAAGGUGGAGGCAUUACUUUUCAUUCAACCCUCGUAGUAUGGAUUACCCAAAAGGUGAACAAAUGGCUCUGAGAAGUGAAUCAAACCUGAGCUCUUCCUAGAAGCCAAAGUGACCAAACUGAAGCCAUCCCGUCUUGGGCAUAUUGUGAUAAUGCGCGAGAAGCUGAUAGUACUGGGAAAAGUGGGGGCAGAAAGAACAGAGUGAGGAAGACUAUACUGUGAAAGGAUAGUUAAGUAAGCCAGGACCUUAAGUUUGCAAGACCUGAGCAGGAUAGCUGAUGACGGAGUAUCUUGGAAGUCUCCCAUUCUUAGGCUUGAUAGAAGCUGAAGGUGACUUGAAAUGGCAAAUAAGAGUGACAGCAAUGUCCAUGACCCUGGAGUUUGAAAGCAGCUAUCCAGCCCCAAUUACGACCCGACCUUUACGCAGCAGCUUUUCCAUUAUACAAUGCAGGAGCCUUUAAUUUUCUUGGCACAAAGCCUCUUUCUCUCCUUAUGGGAAGCUGUCAAGGCAGGCUUGCUUCUCCGCAGGCAGUCGUUCACCUUCUGCUAUUUUUGCCCUGAGUGCCACUUUCAUGGCUCAGGAGCCUUGAAGGAAAAGAAAUGCAGAAGGUAUUGGGUUUAUUUAUUUUUUAAAAUAAAAAUAAUGCUUCCUGUUCUCUCUUCUUUUCUCUUCCUCUCUUGCUUUUUUGCAUGAAAGCUGUGUUGGCCUCUUGGGCUGGCUGCAGACCUUUCAAAGCCUGCUUCUCUCUCGCUGUUUCACCGCUUUGACCCAAUUGAUCACAAAGGCAGGUCAUAGCAACCUUUGGAGGCAGCUCCAUCCUUUCUUUCCUCACUGGCAUAGCGAAAGUUAUUUUUUAUUUUUCACCUUGAAGGAGCCUGAAGAGCAACAGGUUGUUUUUGAAAGAGAGAUUUCACUACUUUGGAUAGUCCUUCCAAAGUUCAGGUUGAACCACGGAGCGGAUUCAUUGUUCCAGUGAUACUCCCAUGCAAUUGUAAAAAAGCAGGUGACAGGUUAAGGCUGACUCUGUUUUAGGGAAGGAGUUCAGGACUUUGGAUCGCUUCCUUAAAGUUCAGACUAAAAGCCAGAGCAGAUGGCUUCACUGAUAAGGAAGGCAUCAGGCUCCAAAAGUCCAGACUUUUAGGCCACUCUUUCUGAAUCUCAUAUAGGAUCAAGGUUCCAUACCUUGCACACCUCCUUUAAAAUUUAGAGUGAACUCAUCGUUUCUAUGACACCAAUGGCAUUCUUUGAAAACAGGAGACAGAAAGACUUUUUCUGCUAUUCUUUCUGCAUUGAGGAUAGAGCUCAGCAUUUUCCAUGGCUUCUUUGAAGUCCAGAUUCAACCCCAGACUCAAUUGAGGACUGAUUUACUGACAGGUCCUGAUUUUCCUCUUAAACUGUAAUCAUAGAGAGGUUGGAGUUGGAUUUGGGGAAGUCCAACCAUAGGGAAGGAUUCUGCACAUGCUUCAAGGCGCUCUUGGCUUUGCAUGAACUCAGAAUGUGGCAUAUGUAGACAACAGGCUUGCCUGAUGGUGGCUAUGGCAAUGGAAAACAACAGGUUUUGUAGUCCUGGUCCAGAUAGAGGCAUAUCCAAGGUGAAGUUGAUGCCAUGGACACAUCCCUGAGAUUAACCAUCCUGCUGAUUAUCGUGUCAGCGGGGAUGAUGGGUAGCAGAGUGAAGUCCAAAAAUUCACCAUCCCGGUCUUCACCUCCUUCACUCCAGACUGUCUCCCGGUGUGGAAAAACAGCACUGGACAAACACACUCCAGCAGUCGAGGUUUCGGUUGGAAAUCCAAUGGCAAUAUAUCUUUAUUUACAUUUCUAUAUACAAAAUAGAGUAAAUCAGUCCUUCUCUCCAUGAGUGCUUGCAGAAGCAACUCAUGCACACACAGCACACUGCUCAACACUGCUCAGGAAACUCCUCUGCAUUCCACAGGAACAAGAAAGAAAGUCCCGGUCAAAACAAACUUGACCCCAUUGGUCCUGUGAUACAUCAAUCAUAGCAGACUCUCAUUAACUCCAUAACUGCUGAAAUGCCUUGCCGAAAAACCAACACAUAAGGCAUUUCUAAUAACCCAGAUUGAUUUUAACAUUUCACAAUACACAAUACCCUGACAUAUCGUAUGUACUCGAAGAUAAGCUGAGUUUUUCAGCCCGUUUUUUGAGCUGAAAAAGCCUCCUUCGGCUUAUAAUGGGGUCAAGGCCAAGGCCAGGCAACAGAACCUGGAGAUCAUUGCUUGCAAUAUAUGAUAUAUUUCUCUCUUACCCUCCCUUAUCAGUGUGUUUUCCAAAGCCUCCCUUGCUCUUAACCAAGGAAAUGUUUUGAAAAGGGAAAGACGCCCUUGCAAGUCAGGAAGAAGAAAUAUAGAUAUCCAUUAAUCUUAUAAAAGCAUUUUCCCUGAAAUAUUUGUUAAACUCUCCUACAGAUAUAUAGGCAUUAACCCCCUGCAUGUCUUUGCAAUCCCUAUGUACUUAUAUCUCUAUCUAUCUAUCUAUCUAUCUAUCUAUCUAUCUAUCUAUCUAUCUAUCAUCUAUCUACAUUAAUUUUAUAUAUGAAUUUCCCUCUCAUAUGUUUGCAGGUCUUUGCAAAUCCUAUAUACAUAUAGAUCCAGGUACCUGUAUAUCUAUAUCCAUAUAUAUAUAUUAUUUAACCUACUGAUGCCUCGAUUAAUGUAAUUUUAUUGUUAUCUAUUUUUAUUUUGAAAUUGACCAGUAGCUGCUUCAUUUCCCACCCUCGGCUUAUACCCGGGUCCAUAAGUUAUCCCAGUUUUUUGUGGUAAAAUUAGGUGCCUCGGCUUAUAUUCGGGUCGGCUUAUACUCAAGUAUAUCUCUUUGUGUGUUAACCGAGAUGGCUCAACAUGAACUCAGAACAUCUCUGCCCUUCUCCAUUGCCUAUAUGAGAGUAAAAAGAUAAUGGGACAAACAAGAAGAGCUUCUAUGUUGUAAGGAGCAUGCACAUUUCUCAGGUAUUAACCAGGCAAAAUCCAGGAAAAGUGAUUUCAUCUAAACUUCCUGAUGGUAAGCAAUGUGACUGAAAGUCUGGUGGCAUCUCUUCUCUGGAUGUAUUUAAGCAGAAGCUCGAUGGCCAUCAGUUGGGAUCCUUCUUUUAGUCUCCUGUUUUUAACAUUUUAUGCUGUAUGUUGAUUUUUAUGAUGGUUUUAUUGAUAUUGAUGUUUUACUGUUGGAAUAAUUGUUUUAUCGUUUUAUUGCUGUAUGUUUCGGGCUCAGUCCCCAUGUAAGCCGCUCCGAGUCCCCACUGGGGAGAUGGGGCAGGGUAUAAAAAUAAAGUUAUUAUUAUUAUUAUUA